UCAACUCAACAAAUUAAUCAACUCAUCUCCAUCUCCCUCACUCCAACAAACUUCACUACCUGGAACCCUAAUUUUGUUUUCAUCCCCAUUUUUGAACAAAAGUGUUCGUCCGCCAUUUUUUUACAUCAAUACAACACUUUCAUAUUCAUCUUCAUAUUCUUUGCCUACACACUUGUUGUUCAGGCUUAAGACGGUUCUUUCAAACACGCCGGCAAUUUUUGACUGCGACAGUUUCGGGGGUAUUUUUGUUCAACUGUCGCAUGGAAGAAAUACUUUAUUCCUGGUCCAUUUUCACUACCCGCUUUCAAUUUCAUACAGCCGCCCAAUCUAUUUCUUUUCUACAAAUUAUUUUUGGAAAUAAACCCUAAAAUUUGACUAGAGAACCAAAAAUUCCCUCUUUCUUUCAAGUGAUUGUCCUUGCAACCUUAUCGCUAUCUUCUUCUCCAUAGCUGUGAUACUCUAUCUCUUCAUCACGAUCUCCUCUUCUUAUCUACAUCCUUCGAAAUCUUACGAGUUCUACUUUUUAUCAAUCUUUACCGAUAUAUUAUUAUCUCAAUUCAUCCCUGUCGCAUGUUAAAGACAUCGGUCCCUCAACCCUCCAAACUGACAUGGCAAGAAGAGAGGAUUUUUACUGUGUUCUACUCUGUUUGGAACUAAGUUGGGUAAAGAAAGAAAAAAACAUUUGAAAUCGAGGAAGCAAACGGAAACACCACUCUCAACCGGGAAACGCAAACGCGAAAUUGGAACCCUAAACCAGAAAACUCAAAACAGAAAUCUUCAAAGAAAUUCAAAGAGUUAUCAAGAUCAAGGAGAGAAGGUUGAAUUUUCAGGGCCCCUAAUAUCUCAAAUGCAUACAGUUGAUGAGCUCUUGGAAAGACACUAGUGCCAUAUUCGGCAUACAGUCCGAAGAUCAUGGUAUCAAAGAAAUUGUGCAACCAAGGAAACAAAAUUCACCUCGUAAGCAACAUUCGUACUAUCGAGGUUGAGGUUGUGGGUGUUGCGAUUGCGAUUAGUGUGAUUACUGCUAUGCCCGUUGCGGUUAUUAUUAUGCGCAUUGCCGUCAUUGCAGCGUGAAUUUUAAUUGACAAGAGUUUGAAAUACACCAUUAAAAAACACUUAAUAUUAAGAUUAUUCAGAUUUAAAUUGAGUUUUGGAGUCUAAAUUAUGAGUUUUGACGAAAAUACUUGAAUAAAUCUAGGCAAAGUUGUCUGAUGCGGAUUCUAAUAUGGAAGGGCACAUGAUUUCAAAUCAAACCGCAAUUGCGGUUCAAUACGGUUACGGAAACUACCGUCUGAGCAAUAUUGUGGUUGCAUACCGCAAUUUAAAACCAUGAUCAUAUCUAUGGUAUUUUGUAUUUGAUUAACAAAUAGGAUAUUGAUGUUUUCAAUUUUAUGUUUUUGAAUUUUAGCCAUUGGAGGGUGAGGCUGUAAUGAGCAAAUUUCAGAAGGUUUAUAAAAAAUUAAGCUGAGCUUUUAAAGGUGUGCCUUUUGAAGAAUUAAUGAAGUUAAAGAACAUCUUGAGCUAAUGCACAUGUAACUCAGGCGGGCAAGGAGAAGGACUGAUACACAAGACAUAGAGUUAGCAAUGUAUAUGAUGGUUGUGUUCUCCGACGAAGAUGAUCGUAAUGCCGAUAGUGCUAUAAUUGAAAGGCUUGCGAAAAAGUUGGAACUUCACAGUGUUGAAGAUGAUACGACCAUAUUGCUGCUGCUGCUCGUGGUGAGCUCCAGUGAUGUACGUGAACUAUUUGUACCAGUAAUUACAAUCUAAAAGAAAAGAACUUAUAAGAGGUGUUAAAAUGGGCUCUGUGUUAUUACUUUGAAGUAAAACAUGAAUUGGUUUUACAGAAUUUAAGCUUGUAAUUAUUUCUACCUGGACCUGCCAAAAAAUUUCAUCAGCCAGUUUGUAUUUCAGAUCAGAUUCAAUUGAUAGAUCAAAGCUCUAUGACAACAACACAGUUGAAGUUACAAACUGAGACACCAAUAGCUUAUGAGAAAUAUAGAAGAAAAAAAUUGAAGGUUAUAACAAGAUCAGGUCCCAUGAGCCUCUCAUUUCCAGCUGUCAUACUUUCUACUUGGGCCUCUCAUCAAAGUCUCCAAAAACCUCAAGAUGAAAUUUUUUCCCAAAAAUGCCUCAGAUUCAAAUAUGGUACUAGUGGAUGAGUCCCAUAUGUUAUAUCAGAGUGAAAUUUUGGAUGAGUCCCAUUUCAUUAUCUAAAUGAAUAAUUUGUUGACAUUGGAUGCUAACUAUGUAUAAAUUCUAAACAAUGUUAUUAUAAAGAACCAGGUUGCUUUAGCUCAAAAAAUUCAGUAUGUAAGCAUCCUGAAUAUUGAUGAGUUAGUUUUAUUUUGUAAUCAUUCUGAA